GACGAGGGGUCCAAGCGUUGUUCGGAAUUAUUGGGCGUAAAGCGCUCGUAGGCGGGACUGCAAGUCCGUGUUGAAAGACCUCGGCUCAACUGAGGGACCGGCUCAGAUACUGUGGUUCUUGAGGCAAUCAGAGGGUGAUGGAAUUCCCGGUGUAGCGGUGAAAUGCGUAGAGAUCGGGAGGAACACCAGAGGCGAAGGCGGCGACCUGGACAGUUACUGACACUCAACUACGAAAGCGUGGGGAGCAAACAGG
rnacentral:rRNA from 1 species